rnacentral:rRNA from 1 species
UACGAAGGGGGCUAGCGUUGCUCGGAAUCACUGGGCGUAAAGGGUGCGUAGGCGGGUCUUUAAGUCAGGGGUGAAAUCCUGGAGCUCAACUCCAGAACUGCCUUUGAUACUGAGGGUCUUGAGUUCGGGAGAGGUGAGUGGAACUGCGAGUGUAGAGGUGAAAUUCGUAGAUAUUCGCAAGAACACCAGUGGCGAAGGCGGCUCACUGGCCCGAUACUGACGCUGAGGCAUGAAAGCGUGGGGAGCAAACAGG